CGGUGCCGGCCGAUCCGGAAGCAUGUCUGUCGACCGCGGAGGCGCUGGUGCCGUGCUGAGAGCGGCUGCCUAUGCCCCCCGAGCGGGGCUGGAACUCUUCCAAGACGCCCACGUUCGCACAGAGACCCCGGAUCGCGGAAGCUCGCGUCUCGAAAGGCCUGUGGGUCAAGGGGGGCCAUCUCGGUGGGAUCUGGGGCGGGACGACCCCCACUGCUGAACCCUGGGCGCGGGGCAGGAUCAGAGGCUCCGCUCGGCCUCGCCCUGGAUGAGACGAGCGUGCCCGCUGUCCCCCGGCCGCCGUCGGCGUCGUGUCUUUAGUCCUUAUCGACUCCAGACUUUGGGGAUGCGUAUUAACGCCAGACUCCCGCAAAGUCUUGCCUUCAAAACUCAGCUCCUGGGGAAAGACGGGUGGAGGGAUGACUGGAAACGUGGCCUCGACGUCCCUACAGAGCCCCUCCAGCGUGGGGAGGCCUAAGUACCUCAAGGUUCAGGCCCACGGAAGGAAUCGGAGGAGCGAGGCCCGGUGCUCUACGUGUGAAGGAGCUUGAACAGGACCCCACAAACGCCAGGGAGACGGUGAGGGGGUUCGUGCGUUUGUAACGUCUUGACAUCGCUGAUCCUCCCGCAGGCGGUCUCACGCCCUGCCCGUCCUGGGUUCACGGUUUUUCAUCACCUGCGGCUGUCCUGCGAUCGACCACAGCUGUGCAGGAGGUAUCUGUUGCUGCAGUUACCGGAACCUUUGCCAGGACUAGUACAGGACCACGAGCUGGUAGCUCAGGGAUGUCUUGUCUGUGAGUUACAGCUGCACACUCUCCAGGAAAAAAGGAAUUUCCUCUUCUCUGGACACCCCACCACACAGCUGGUUUCUCAUUGGUGCUGCUUGCCCAUUCCCUGAGCUGUGACUGCCAGAGGAGUGGGAGGUUGGUGGUGCCUCCAGCCCAUCGGGGCAGGCCCUGGGACUGCCUGGGAACAGGACUAUGGCACAAACCGAGUUAGUGAUGGGAGCAACCCACAGUGCUCUGCCGCAUCCGUGUCUUCCUUCACUCACAUGAAAUGCAGAAAAGGCAGCUUUGCCACAGCACAGCAGCACGCACAGAAUGUGGCCGCCCAGGGCUCUGUCCUUGACCCCUGUUGUCCAGGACUGUUUACCAAGGGCUGACAGGCACUGAGUGCCCCGUGCACAUAGCCAGACACUGCACUCGUGCAGCGGAAAGGACAGUGAACGAGACUUGGUCCCUGGCUUCCAAAGGCUUAGGGCGUAGUGGCUGUCAUGAGGCACAGUGACGAGGGCCAGGAGGGGGACCUCUUAGGGGGCCAUGCAGUGAUGGAAGCCAGAAAGAAUGAAGGCCUGCAGUGAGGAUGGAGUGGUCCGCCUGAAAACAUCUCUAGCAAAUGGCCAGGACGCUGAUUGUUCUGUGCAGGUAGAAGGUAGGUGGUGAGUCUGAGAAAGGGGCCAGAAAGACUCCCCAGCAACUGCUGGCAAAGGGUGAAGGGCACGUUCCCACAGGAUGCAAGCCAGGGGAGAUGGGCACUCAGUUUAGACGUUCCUACAGCAGGGUCAGCAAGACAAGCAGGUUGCGGCAGGGGUCUGUGCACUGCUGUGUAAAUGUAGGGGGCAUCAGGAGGUAGACAGCAGCUGAUAACCAGUGUCUCAAGAGCCUUCCUAGGGCAGAAAGACCAGGGGAGAGGUGUGCAUCACCCUUGGAGUUAAGGGACAGUUGUCUGUUAGGUGUUCCUUCCUGGAGAUGGCUGAAAAGCCAGUCCAGUCUGCAGGGACCAGGCCACCACCCACCUGAUGUGGGAGCAUUUCCCCCAAUCCCUGCUGGGCUGCUGAAUCUGGGGGACAUAGGGAAGCUGAGGCUGGCGUUCUGAGUGGUGACAGAGCUGAGCCACAGGGGAUGUCUGAGGUCAGCCCUGAGCAGAGUGGAGUAGGGACUCAGGGUGGGUCAGGGAACUGGAAAGCGGGCACUGUGCACGCAGCCCUUGAGAGGAGCCAGGGUGGGGAUCCCCCACCGUGUGCAGAAGGCAGCAGCCUUGGAAGCAGGGUGCGCUCCGUGGUGUGCUCGCUCGAUACCAGAAAAUGACUCUAAAAACUAAAGAGUGUUUGAGUUUCAUUCACACAAAACAUGGACGUCAUCUGUGAGGCUCUGUCCCAGAGAGACCGGGCCAUCCUCAUGUCUGUUAUUGGGAUGUAAAUAAACAAAAGUACAA
rnacentral:sRNA from 1 species